AUGCUUGCUUUGGCAGCACAUACACUACAUCUGGAAUGCUACAGAGAAGAUCAGCAUGGCCCUUGUGCAAGGGUGACAUGCACAUUCAUAAAGCAUUCCAUAUUUUU
rnacentral:snRNA from 1 species